rnacentral:rRNA from 1 species
AUUGAACGCUGGCGGCAGGCCUAACACAUGCAAGUCGAACGGUAACAGGAAGAAGCUUGCUUCUUUGCUGACGAGUGGCGGACGGGUGAGUAAUGUCUGGGAAACUGCCUGAUGGAGGGGGAUAACUACUGGAAACGGUAGCUAAUACCGGAUAACGUCGCAAGACCAAAGAGGGGGACCUUCGGGCCUCUUGCCAUCGGAUGUGCCCAGAUGGGAUUAGCUAGUAGGUGGGGUAACGGCUCACCUAGGCGACGAUCCCUAGCUGGUCUGAGAGGAUGACCAGCCACACUGGAACUGAGACACGGUCCAGACUCCUACGGGAGGCAGCAGUGGGGAAUAUUGCACAAUGGGCGCAAGCCUGAUGCAGCCAUGCCGCGUGUAUGAAGAAGGCCUUCGGGUUGUAAAGUACUUUCAGCGGGGAGGAAGGGAGUAAAGUUAAUACCUUUACUCAUUGACGUUACCCGCAGAAGAAGCACCGGCUAACUCCGUG